GAUGAACGCUGGCGGCGUGCCUAAUACAUGCAAGUCGAGCGAACAGACGAGGAGCUUGCUCCUCUGACGUUAGCGGCGGACGGGUGAGUAACACGUGGAUAACCUACCUAUAAGACUGGGAUAACUUCGGGAAACCGGAGCUAAUACCGGAUAAUAUAUUGAACCGCAUGGUUCAAUAGUGAAAGACGGUUUUGCUGUCACUUAUAGAUGGAUCCGCGCCGCAUUAGCUAGUUGGUAAGGUAACGGCUUACCAAGGCAACGAUGCGUAGCCGACCUGAGAGGGUGAUGGGCCACACGGGAACUGAGACACGGUCCAGACUCCUACGGGAGGCAGCAGUAGGGAAUCUUCCGCAAUGGGCGAAAGCCUGACGGAGCAACGCCGCGUGAGUGAUGAAGGUCUUCGGAUCGUAAAACUCUGUUAUUAGGGAAGAACAAAUGUGUAAGUAACUAUGCACGUCUUGACGGUACCUAAUCAGAAAGCCACGGCUAACUACGUG
rnacentral:rRNA from 1 species